rnacentral:rRNA from 1 species
UUGAAUCCGCGAGGACCAUCUCGCAAGGCUAAAUACUAACCAGUGACCGAUAGUGAACCAGUACCGUGAGGGAAAGGUGAAAAGAACCCCGGGAGGGGAGUGAAAGAGAACCUGAAACCGUGUGCCUACAAGUAGUCAGAGCCCGUUAACGGGUAAUGGCGUGCCUUUUGUAGAAUGAACCGGCGAGUUGCGUUAGUCAGCAAGGUUAAGUCAGAAAAGACGGAGCCGCAGCGAAAGCGAGUCUGAAGAGGGCGAGCAGUUGGCUGACGCAGACCCGAAACCAAGUGACCUACCCAUGACCAGGUUGAAGGCGCGGUAAAACGCGCUGGAGGACCGAACCCACGUAAGUUGAAAAUUGCGGGGAUGAGUUGUGGGUAGCGGUGAAAUUCCAAACGAACUUGGAGAUAGCUGGUUCUCUCCGAAAUAGCUUUAGGGCUAGCCUCGCAAAGAGGAUGCUGGAGGUAGAGCUCUGUUUGGACUAGGGGCCCGUCAAGGGUUACUGAAUUCAGAUAAACUGCGAAUUCCAGACAUUUAUGUGCGGGAGUCAGACUGCGAGUGAUAAGAUCCGUAGUCGAAAGGGAAACAGCCCAGAUCACCAGUUAAGGUCCCAAAAUUCAUGCUAAGUGGAAAAGGAUGUGGAGUUGCGCAGACAACUAGGACGUUGGCUCAGAAGCAGCCAUCAUUCAAAGAGUGCGUAAUAGCUCACUAGUCGAGUGACGCCGCGCCGAAAAUUUACCGGGGCUAAGCAUGAUACCGAAACUGUGGAUGUGCAUUUAUGCACGUGGUAGGAGAGCGUUCUAGCGGCGGUGAAGCAUGAC